UACACCGAAGAGCAGAGGAGAUUGAGGCACUGAAGAUUGAAGAUGAGAAAUUAUUAUUUUUUGAAUGAAAUCAAAAGUGGUGUUUGUUCUCCGUUGAAAAUGAUUAUGCUGAUGAAGAAAAAGAAUCUAUGGAUCUGAAAUUGGUGAAGGUAACAGAGAAUUAGAGUUUGUAAAGGAAGAAGAGUUGAUUGUUUAUGUCAAUUGAUUAAUCACAACCUGCCACUCCACUUGGUCACAACACCACCACCUUCUUCUUCUUCGUCUUCUGGUCAAAUUGAUGGGAAAGAAAAGGUAAUUGUGAAAUGGGUCGGAUUUGUUUGAUCUUUGUUUUGUGUCUACCUAACUUUUUGGGGGUUGUUUAUACUGUCCAAGACUCCAGAUUGAGUUUCAGUGAAAUAUUGAUUUGGUGAAAGAUGAGACAACAGCUGGUGGAAACAAAUUAAUUGGAAAGUGUAGCUGGAUCUGGUAGAGUUUGAUCUGGAGAACGUGAAUUUGUAAUGGUUUGCUAGUUGUUGAUACAGGUGAAUGGUGGUGAUAUGUUGCUCGAAUUACAGAUAUAGAGAGUUGGGUUUGAGCUGAAAUUGAAGAAGAGAACAAGAAGAAUGUUGUUAUUGUGAAUGUAUGCUUUACAGGGAAACACCAUGAAGCAGUGAAUGGUUUUUGCAGUUUCAAUUUAUUUUGACUUAGUUUUAUGCAAGAAAAACCAUGGAGAAGAUUGAUCUUUCUUCCAUUGAUUUGUAGAAUUGAAUGAAUGCUUGUUAAUUGAUACAGAACUAUGAAAUUACUUUUUUUUUUGUUA